CGGAGGAUCCAAGCGUUAUCCGGAUUUAUUGGGUUUAAAGGGUGCGUAGGCGGACCCUUAAGUCAGUGGUGAAAGUUCGCGGCUCAACCGUGAAAUUGCCAUUGAAACUGAGGGUCUUGAGUGUAAAUAAGGUAGGCGGAAUGUGUCGUGUAGCGGUGAAAUGCUUAGAUAUGACACAGAACACCGAUUGCGAAGGCAGCUUACUGGGAUACAACUGACGCUGAGGCACGAAAGCGUGGGGAUCAAACAGGAUU
rnacentral:rRNA from 1 species